rnacentral:rRNA from 1 species
ACGAGGGGGGCAAGCGUUGUUCGGAAUUAUUGGGCGUAAAGGGCGCGUAGGCGGUGCGGUAAGUCACCUGUGAAAACUCGAGGCUUAACCUCGAGAUGUCGGCGGAAACCAUCUGGCUAGAGUCCGGAAGAGGAGAGUGGAAUUCCUGGUGUAGCGGUGAAAUGCGCAGAUAUCAGGAAGAACACCCGUGGCGAAGGCGGCUCUCUGGGACGGUACUGACGCUGAGACGCGAAAGCGUGGGGAGCAAACGGGA